CCUACGGGUGGCUGCAGUGGGGAAUAUUGGACAAUGGGCGAAAGCCUGAUCCAGCCAUGCCUCGUGUGUGAAGAAGGCCUUCGGGUUGUAAAGCACUUUCAGUGGGGAAGAAAGCCUUGGGGCUAAUACCCUCGAGGAAGGACAUCACCCACAGAAGAAGCACCGGCUAACUCCGUGCCAGCAGCCGCGGUAAUACGGAGGGUGCGAGCGUUAAUCGGAAUUACUGGGCGUAAAGCGCGCGUAGGCGGUCUGAUAAGCCGGUUGUGAAAGCCCCGGGCUCAACCUGGGAACGGCAUCCGGAACUGUCAGGCUAGAGUGCAGGAGAGGAAGGUAGAAUUCCCGGUGUAGCGGUGAAAUGCGUAGAGAUCGGGAGGAAUACCAGUGGCGAAGGCGGCCUUCUGGACUGACACUGACGCUGAGGUGCGAAAGCGUGGGUAGCAAACAGGAUUAGAUACCCCAGUAGUC
rnacentral:rRNA from 1 species